CGACCGGCGCACGGGUGAGUAACACGUAUGCAACCUGGCCGUGACAGAUGGAUAACCGGGAGAAAUCCCGCCUAAUACAACAUAAUGCCGGGAGGGGACAUCCCCUGCCGGUCAAAGGGGGCGACCCCGGUCAUGGAUGGGCAUGCGGCGCAUUAGGUAGUUGGUGGGGCAACGGCCCACCAAGCCGACGAUGCGUAGAGGUUCUGAGAGGAAGGUCCCCCACAUUGGAACUGAGACACGGUCCAAACUCCUACGGAAGGCAGCAG
rnacentral:rRNA from 1 species